UACGUAGGGCGCAAGCGUUGUCCGGAAUUAUUGGGCGUAAAGCGCUCGUAGGCGGCACUGUUAGUCAGGCGUGAAAGUCCUGGGCUCAACCUGGGAACUGCGCUUGAUACGGCAGAGCUAGAGGAUGGAAGAGGCUCGCGGAAUUCCCAGUGUAGAGGUGAAAUUCGUAGAUAUUGGGAAGAACACCGGUGGCGAAGGCGGCGAGCUGGUCCAUUACUGACGCUGAGGCGCGACAGCGUGGGGAGCAAACAGG
rnacentral:rRNA from 1 species